AGCAGCCGCGGUAAUUCCAGCUCCAAUAGCGUAUAUUAAAGUUGUUGCAGUUAAAAAGCUCGUAGUUGAAUUUCGAGAUCAAAUUGUUGGUCGUGCCUUGGUACGCACUGGCAUUAUUGGUUUCUCCCUUCUGACGAAUCAUGAUGUCAUUAAUUUGGUGUCUUGGGGAAUCAGGACUGUUACUUUGAAAAAUUGAGUGUUUAAAGCAGGCUUACGCUUGAAUACAUUAGCAUGGAAUAAUGAAAUAGGACGUUUGAUUCUAUUUUGUUGGUUUCUAGGAUCGACGUAAUGAUUAAUAGGGAUAGUUGGGGGCAUUAGUAUUCAAUUGUCAGAGGUGAAAUUCUUGGAUUUAUUGAAGACUAACUACUGCGAAAGCAUUUGCCAAGGAUGUUUUCAUUAAUCAAGAACGAAAGUUAGGGGAUCGAAGACGAUCAGAUACCGUCGUAGUCUUAACCAUAAACUAUGCCGACUAGGGAUCG
rnacentral:rRNA from 1 species